rnacentral:tRNA from 1 species
GCAGGAGUAGUUCACGUUAGAAGAACAGUUCCCUUCCAAGGAAAAGGUCAGCAGUGCAAUUCUGCUCUCCUGCU